rnacentral:rRNA from 1 species
AUUGAACGCUGGCGGCAGGCCUAACACAUGCAAGUCGAACGAGUGGCGGACGGGUGAGUAAUGUCUGGGAAACUGCCCGAUGGAGGGGGAUAACUACUGGAAACGGUAGCUAAUACCGCAUACCAUCGGAUGUGCCCAGAUGGGAUUAGCUGGUAGGUGGGGUAACGGCUCACCUAGGCGACGAUCCCUAGCUGGUCUGAGAGGAUGACCAGCCACAUGGUAACGGAGACACGGUCCAGACUCCUCCGGGAGCCAGCAGGGGGAAAUGUUGAAAAGUGGGCGCAGGCCUGAUGCAGCCAUGCCGCGUGUAUGAAGAAGGCCUUCGGGUUGUAAAGUACUUUCAGCGAGGAGGCGUUACUCGCGGAAAAAGCACCGGCUAACUCCGUGCCAGCAGCCGCGGUAUUUC